UUCCGUAGGGUGACCUGCGGAGGGAUCAUUACCGAGUUUACAACUCCCAAACCCCUGUGAACAUACCAAUUGUUGCCUCGGCGGAUCAGCCCGCUCCCGGUAAAACGGGACGGCCCGCCAGAGGACCCCUAAACUCUGUUUCUAUAUGUAACUUCUGAGUAAAACCAUAAAUAAAUCAAAACUUUCAACAACGGAUCUCUUGGUUCUGGCAUCGAUGAAGAACGCAGCAAAAUGCGAUAAGUAAUGUGAAUUGCAGAAUUCAGUGAAUCAUCGAAUCUUUGAACGCACAUUGCGCCCGCCAGUAUUCUGGCGGGCAUGCCUGUUCGAGCGUCAUUUCAACCCUCAAGCCCUCGGGUUUGGUGUUGGGGAUCGGCGAGCCCUUGCGGCAAGCCGGCCCCGAAAUCUAGUGGCGGUCUCGCUGCAGCUUCCAUUGCGUAGUAGUAAAACCCUCGCAACUGGUACGCGGCGCGGCCAAGCCGUUAAACCCCCAACUUCUGAAUGUUGACCUCGGAUCAUGCCGUAGACCCACGU
rnacentral:rRNA from 1 species